rnacentral:rRNA from 1 species
CCUACGGGGGACAGCAGUAAGGGAUAUUGGUCAAUGGGGGAAACCCUGAACCAGCAACGCCGCGUGAGGGAAGAAGGUUUGGGGAAUGGAAAACUCUGUCCGCGGGGAAGAGGAUGACGGUAGCAGAGGAGGAAGCUGCGGCGACCUACGUGCCAGCAGCCGCGGUCAUACGCAGGGAGCGAGCGUUGUCCGGAGUUACUGGGUUUAAAGGGGGCGUAGGCGGCUUGGCUAGUCAGUAGUGAAAUCCCUGGGCUUACCCCCUGACCUGCUCUUGAAACUGUCGGGCUGGAGUGAAGUAGAGGUAGGCGGAUUUCCCGGUGUAGCGGUGAACUGCGUAGCGAUCGGG